rnacentral:rRNA from 1 species
UACGUAGGGUGCGAGCGUUGUCCGGAAUUAUUGGGCGUAAAGAGCUUGUAGGCGGUCUGUCGCGUCCGUUGUGAAAACUCGAGGCUCAACCUCGGGCUUGCAGUGGAUACGGGCAGACUAGAGGUAGGUAGGGGAGAAUGGAAUUCCCGGUGUAGCGGUGAAAUGCGCAGAUAUCGGGAGGAACACCGAUGGCGAAGGCAGGUCUCUGGGCCAUAACUGACGCUGAGAAGCGAAAGCAUGGGGAGCGAACAGG